rnacentral:rRNA from 1 species
AUUGAACGCUGGCGGCAGGCUUAACACAUGCAAGUCGAGCGGGGUGAUGGUGCUUGCACUAUCACUUAGCGGCGGACGGGUGAGUAAUGCUUAGGAAUCUGCCUAUUAGUGGGGGACAACAUCUCGAAAGGGAUGCUAAUACCGCAUACGUCCUACGGGAGAAAGCAGGGGAUCACUUGUGACCUUGCGCUAAUAGAUGAGCCUAAGUCGGAUUAGCUAGUUGGUGGGGUAAAGGCCUACCAAGGCGACGAUCUGUAGCGGGUCUGAGAGGAUGAUCCGCCAAAAUGGGACUGAGACACGGACGAGACGCCUACGGGAGGCAGCAGUGGGGAAUAUUGGACAAUGGGGGGAACCCUGAUCCAGCCAUGCCGCGUGUGUGAAGAAGGCCUUAUGGUUGUAAAGCACUUUAAGCGAGGAGGAGGCUCUUUUGGUUAAUACCCAAGAUGAGUGGACGUUACUCGCAGAAUAAGCACCGGCUAACUCUGUGCCAGCCGCCGCCGCAG